AGGUGUGAUGAUGAGUUUACAAUAAUCUCGUUAAUCUGAUAAUUUGUGAGGAUGAUUUUAUAAUCCAUUCCAAACACACUGAGC